CAGGUGCUGCAUGGCUGUCGUCAGCUCGUGUCGUGAGAUGUUGGGUUAAGUCCCGCAACGAGCGCAACCCUUGUCAUUAGUUGCCAUCAUUUGGUUGGGCACUCUAAUGAGACUGCCGGUGACAAACCGGAGGAAGGUGGGGAUGACGUCAAGUCCUCAUGGCCCUUAUGGGUAGGGCUUCACACGUCAUACAAUGGUCGGUACAGAGGGUUGCCAACCCGCGAGGGGGAGCUAAUCCCACAAAGCCGAUCGUAGUCCGGACCGCAGUCUGCAACUCGACUGCGUGAAGUCGGAAUCGCUAGUAAUCGUGGAUCAGCAUGUCACGGUGAAUACGUUCCCGGGUCUU
rnacentral:rRNA from 1 species